AGCUGGUGUGUGUUUCCAGCCACUAGGCAACCCCAGGUCUUCAUCUGAGCACCCAGGGCCAGAAGUCUCACCCUGUCCCCCGUACCAUCCCUUCCCAGCCAGCCACAGUUUCCUUCCUUCUGUUGCCCACACAGUGCUCUCAGCCCCAGAUGCCCUUCCUGACACUUCCUCCCAAGGAAACCCAAGUCCUCCGUCAGGGUCCACCCAAAUGUCCACACCCUCUGGUAGCCUGCCCAGCCCCAGAGGCUCCCCUGAGCUCCCUUCCCCCAUUAGAGCCUACAGAGGCAGUGCUGCCCAGCAGACAUCUCGGCUGGGAGUCAAACAGAGCAAGGCUAUUUUGGUCCCUCUCUCCACUCUAUGUGACCCUGAAAUGUGCCCUGGCCUUAGGAAACAUUCAGCUACAUCAGAGAACGCAAGUCAAGGAAGUUGCUGCCCAGAAACCAAGUGAGGACAUUUACAAGAACCGGCGGCGGCGGCGGCAGCAGCAGCAGCAGCAGCAGCAGCAGCAGCAACUGGAUUUGCUUUUUCACCAGAGGAUCCAGAUUUCCCUGUGGCCUUGCAAACAAAAAAGAAGGAAGACGGAGCAGCACAGUCAUCCCUUUGUGAAAAAAGCAUUCAGGUGGUUGAGGGGAGACUCAGUGAAGUCUUGGGGGUUCAGAGCUACACUGCCAGCCUCUGGGACAGCAGCCCCAGUGUCCCCCGACCCAGGCCUUGCUCCUCCCUGCUGAUGAACGCCCACUCUGCUCCCAGAUGCACACCUGUCCUGAAGACACCCGGUUCUCAUGCUCUUCUCUGCAGCACCUGAAUUGGGCAUUCCUGGAGACGGGGUUUCACCGUGUUAGCCAGGAUGGUCUCGA